rnacentral:rRNA from 1 species
AACGAACGCUGGCGGCAUGCCUAACACAUGCAAGUCGAACGAGAUCCUUCGGGGUCUAGUGGCGCACGGGUGCGUAACGCGUGGGAAUCUGCCCUUAGGUUCGGAAUAACAGUUAGAAAUGACUGCUAAUACCGGAUGAUGACGUUAAGUCCAAAGAUUUAUCGCCUGAGGAUGAGCCCGCGUAGGAUUAGCUAGUUGGUGUGGUAAAGGCGCACCAAGGCGACGAUCCUUAGCUGGUCUGAGAGGAUGAUCAGCCACAUUGGGACUGAGACACGGCCCAGACUCCUACGGGAGGCAGCAGUGGGGAAUAUUGGACAAUGGGCGCAAGCCUGAUCCAGCAAUGCCGCGUGAGUGAUGAAGGCCUUAGGGUUGUAAAGCUCUUUUACCCGGGAUGAUAAUGACAGUACCGGGAGAAUAAGCCCCGGCUAACUCCGUG